rnacentral:lncRNA from 1 species
AAUUUAAAUACUUAAGGACAAAUAACACAUUCUCGCUUAAUCUAUCAUAACAUAGACCCCAAAAUUCAUCAUCAUUCUCACGGAAGUCUUACUUGAAAAAUGAAAAACAAAAUGGGUAUAAGAUGUCUCCAGCUUUUGCAUGUAUCAUGUUAAACGCGUGCUCUAUAUACUCCUCUAGUGCUCUAACAUAAAUCACCUUAAC